rnacentral:rRNA from 1 species
CCUACGGGUGGCAGCAGUGGGGAAUAUUGGACAAUGAGGGCAACCCUGAUCCAGCCAUGCCGCGUGUGUGAAGAAGGCCCUCGGGUUGUAAAGCACUUUCAGUGAGGAAGAACGCCUGGUGGUUAAUACCCAUCAGGAAAGACAUCACUCACAGAAGAAGCACCGGCUAACUCCGUGCCAGCAGCCGCGGUAAUACGGAGGGUGCGAGCGUUAAUCGGAAUUACUGGGCGUAAAGCGCGCGUAGGUGGCUUGAUAAGCCGGUUGUGAAAGCCCCGGGCUCAACCUGGGAACGGCAUCCGGAACUGUCAAGCUAGAGUGCAGGAGAGGAAGGUAGAAUUCCCGGUGUAGCGGUGAAAUGCGUAGAGAUCGGGAGGAAUACCAGUGGCGAAGGCGGCCUUCUGGACUGACACUGACACUGAGGUGCGAAAGCGUGGGUAGCAAACAGGAUUAGAUACCCUAGUAGUC